rnacentral:rRNA from 1 species
UACGGGGGGAGCAAGCGUUGUUCGGAUUUACUGGGCGUAAAGGGCGCGUAGGCGGCCAGCGCAAGUCAGUUGUGAAAUCUCCGGGCUUAGCUCGGAAAGGUCAACUGAUACUGCGCGGCUAGAGUGCAGAAGGGGCAACUGGAAUUCUCGGUGUAGCGGUGAAAUGCGUAGAUAUCGAGAGGAACACCUGCGGCGAAGGCGGGUUGCUGGGCUGACACUGACCGUGAGGCGCGAAAGCCAGGGGAGCGAACGGG